UACGUAGGGUGCAAGCGUUGUCCGGAAUUAUUGGGCGUAAAGAGCUCGUAGGCGGUUUGUCGCGUCUGCUGUGAAAUCCCGAGGCUCAACCUCGGGCCUGCAGUGGGUACGGGCAGACUAGAGUGCGGUAGGGGAGAUUGGAAUUCCUGGUGUAGCGGUGGAAUGCGCAGAUAUCAGGAGGAACACCGAUGGCGAAGGCAGAUCUCUGGGCCGUAACUGACGCUGAGGAGCGAAAAGCGUGGGGGAGCGAAACAGG
rnacentral:rRNA from 1 species